ACCCAGCUCCCAUGUCAAGAGCCAGGUAUGGAGAUUGUUCUAUCAUGCCAUCAUGACACCGACCGUUGGCUUUGCAGAGACCUCGCAAGAUUAACAGAGAUAUGGUAACCUUAACUUUACAUGAAGGAUACAGACCUAACUUCAGUGGAGGAAACCUGCCACCUUGUCUGCUGUUUAGCCCUGAUGUUGGCAUCUCCUGGUGCUCUGUCAGGACGAGGGCAACCGGUACAGUUGUAUGUGCCACAAUUUUCUGACUGGCCAUGCUUCACUGGAGUCUGCUUCCUGCGUGGCUCCUGAUACCCAGCCCUUGUGUGACAAACGAGCAUGUCGGACCUUCUAAGUCUCUAUUGCUUUGGAAGAUCACAUCAAAGAGGUUUUACUAAUGAAUAAUGGUUACUGAAGGG